rnacentral:rRNA from 1 species
UAGGGAAUCUUCGGCAAUGGGGGGAACCCUGACCGAGCAACGCCGCGUGAGUGAAGAAGGUUUUCGGAUCGUAAAGCUCUGUUGUAAGAGAAGAACGGGUGUGAGAGUGGAAAGUUCACACUGUGACGGUAUCUUACCAGAAAGGGACGGCUAACUACGUGCCAGCAGCCGCGGUAAUACGUAGGUCCCGAGCGUUGUCCGGAUUUAUUGGGCGUAAAGCGAGCGCAGGCGGUUAGAUAAGUCUGAAGUUAAAGGCUGUGGCUUAACCAUAGUAUGCUUUGGAAACUGUUUAACUUGAGUGCAGAAGGGGAGAGUGGAAUUCCAUGUGUAGCGGUGAAAUGCGUAGAUAUAUGGAGGAACACCGGUGGCGAAAGCGGCUCUCUGGUCUGUAACUGACGCUGAGGCUCGAAAGCGUGGGGAGCAAACAGGAUUAGAUACCCUGGUAGUCCACGCCGUAAACGAUGAGUGCUAGGUGUUAGGCCCUUUCCGGGGCUUAGUGCCGCAGCUAACGCAUUAAGCACUCCGCCUGGGGAGUACGACCGCAAGGUUG